rnacentral:tRNA from 1 species
GGCUCGGUAGCUUAGUUGGUAAAGCGCUCGUCUAGCAUACAAGAGUCCUGGGUUCAAAUCCCAGACGAGCAC